GCGGGGACUAGCCCGGGUGGCUCGGCGUCACCUGUGACCCGUAACCGUCGAUAUGCGGGGGGCGAAGUCUGAGGAAGGUUCAAGCGAUCGGCUGGAGAUCGGGGCAUCCUUUCAAAGAAGCCUCGUCCCGUGAGGUCGGCGGUCAGGGAUCAAAAUUCCGGAAGGAAUUGCGACCUGUUGCCGCGGAGACUGGUUCAGGCCCGGAAGGGAGCAGACUCACCGUGGACGUUCGGCGCCCAUGGGGUUGCGGGGUGGAGGGAGGAUGUCGCGGCGAAGGCUGGCACGUGGAGCCGACCGAGGACGUGUCCCCAU
rnacentral:SRP_RNA from 1 species